UAGGAGUCUCGUACAACAAAAAUAAAUGGUCUAUAAUUAUUUUACAGGGCUCCUCUAGCUCAGGAAGCACUUAUUCUGGGAAACCGAAUCCACAUUCCUCGGGCGGCAGUCAAGUGAGCUCUGCUGGGAAACAUUCCACUCCCCGACUCCUGCUGUUAUUCAGUGUUUUGAGUGCCUUUGCUCUCUCUGCUGCUACAUCAAAAUGGUCUAUAUGAACUUCUGAAGAGUUGCUUGGCAUCCUAGACAUGGAUCAUAUUCAGUAAUAUUAGGUUAAUUACUUGAUGUAAGAAAAAAAAAAUACCCUUAAGUCAAAUUGGCAGAUGCUACUUGGCUGUUAUGUUGUAUUUCUAGCUAGUAUGUCAUGCCUCUCAUUAGUUUACCUUUGGUUUUAGUCAUUAGUAGAUAUCAUUAGUUUUGCCAGUGUUUUAGGCCCCAUUUUAAGAGAACAUAUUGUACCCUACCUAGAUGACUUUUUUUUAUUUCCGAUGGGGAAUGCGAUGAACAUCUACCUGAAAUCUGAUUGGUGCAACAAACAAAUACUUGGAAAAUACUUGGUUGUUAACCAAAGCGGAGGAGGUAAAAAAAAGUUGUUGUAUAUGCAAACUGAGCACCGUGCCCGGUCAUCAUCGCGUAAAAUAAGGCUAACGUAAACAUCUGAUAAGCAGUCCUCCAUGGGACAGAAGAAAAGAUGCUGAAAUACUAUCAGAGUAUUGGUUUUAGUCUAUUGUAAUCAAAUGCAAGUUCAAUAUGGAGGUUGCAAAGCAAAAAAAAAUACUCCAUGGGACUGAAAUUUUUGGGGGUUAAUUAAAGUUUAUUCAUUAGAGAAGCCAAACAGCUCAGAGCAAAGAAAUGCUGAACUCUGUCCAAACUGAUUGCAAAUACCUGGAGUUCUGUAGAGAAGCAUGUGAGGCAGCGCGCCCCAGAUUAGGCCGAUAGUCUAAAACCUGCUGAAAAACAAUGCAUUUUCCCUUGGGAAGGAAUGGAAAUUUAAUUAAGUUCAUAAAGCUGAUAGUAUCUUGGCUCCUUUUCUCAAGUAUUUAGUCUAACCUGCGAUACCCAAUAUACCUGAAAUUUUUAAUUUCAAGAACCAUACUGACAGCUGCAAGCAGGUACAGUAAAUGUGGUCACAG